AGUCUUUAAUGAUGGUAUUUAA
rnacentral:miRNA from 1 species